rnacentral:rRNA from 2 species
GUCCAGACUCCUACGGGAGGCAGCAGUGGGGAAUAUUGCACAAUGGGCGAAAGCCUGAUGCAGCUAUACCGCGUGUAUGAAGAAGGCCUUAGGGUUGUAAAGUACUUUCGUUGGGGAGGAAAAAUAAAUAGAUAAUACCUGUUUAUCGUGACGUUACCCAAAAAAGAAGCACCGGCUAACUCCGUGCCAGCAGCCGCGGUAAUACGGAGGGUGCAAGCGUUAAUCAGAAUUACUGGGCGUAAAGAGCUCGUAGGCGGUUUUUUAAGUCAGAUGUGAAAUCCCUGGGCUUAACCUAGGAACUGCAUUUGAAACUAAAAGACUAGAGUAUCGUAGAGGGAGGUAGAAUUCUAGGUGUAGCGGUGAAAUGCGUAGAUAUCUGGAGGAAUACCUGUGGCGAAAGCGGCCUCCUAAAUGAAUACUGACGCUGAGGUGCGAAAGCAUGGGGAGCAAACAGGAUUAGAUACCCUGGUAGUCCAUGCCGUAAACGAUGUCGACUUGGAGGUUGUUUCCUUGAGAAGUGACUUCCGAAGCUAACGCGUUAAGUCGACCGCCUGGGGAGUACGGUCGCAAGGCUAAAACUCAAAUGAAUUGACGGGGGCCCGCACAAGCGGUGGAGCAUGUGGUUUAAUUCGAUGCAACGCGAAAAACCUUACCUGGUCUUGACAUCCACAGAAUUUUUCAGAGAUGAAAAAGUGCCUUAGGGAACUGUGAGACAGGUGCUGCAUGGCUGUCGUCAGCUCGUGUUGUGAAAUGUUGGGUUAAGUCCCGCAACGAGCGCAACCCUUAUCCUCUGUUGCCAUUGGUUCGGCCAGGAACUCAGAGGAGACUGCCGGUUAUAAACCGGAGGAAGGCGGGGACGACGUCAAGUCAUCAUGGCCCUUACGACCAGGGCUACACACGUGCUACAAUGGUGUAUACAAAGAGAAGCAACUCUGCAAAGACAAGCAAACCUCAUAAAGUACAUCGUAGUCCGGACUGGAGUCUGCAACUCGACUCCACGA